CACGUAGGCGGAUAUUUAAGUCAGGGGUGAAAUCCCAGAGCUCAACUCUGGAACUGCCUUUGAUACUGGGUAUCUUGAGUAUGGAAGAGGUAAGUGGAAUUCCGAGUGUAGAGGUGAAAUUCGUAGAUAUUCGGAAGAACACCAGUGGCGAAGGCGGCUUACUGGUCCAUUACUGACGCUGAGGUGCGAAAGCGUGGGGAGCAAACA
rnacentral:rRNA from 1 species